rnacentral:rRNA from 1 species
UCAGGAUGAACGCUAGCUACAGGCUUAACACAUGCAAGUCGAGGGGCAGCAUAAUCGAAGCUGCUUGAUUGAUGGCGACCGGCGCACGGGUGAGUAACGCGUAUCCAACCUUCCCCUUAGUAGGGCAUAGCCCGGCGAAAGUCGGAUUAAUACCCUAUGUUAUCCGUCGAGGACAUCUGAAGUGGAUUAAAGAUUUAUCGCUAAGGGAUGGGGAUGCGUCUGAUUAGGUUGUUGGCGGGUAACGGCCCACCAAGCCUACGAUCAGUAGGGUUCUGAGAGGAAGGUCCCCCACAUUGGUACUGAGACACGGACCAAACUCCUACGGGAGGCAGCAGUGAGGAAUAUUGGUCAAUGGGCGAGAGCCUGAACCAGCCAAGUAGCGUGCAGGAUGACGGCCCUAUGGGUUGUAAACUGCUUUUGCAUGGGAAUAAAGUCGGGGACGUGUCCCCGUUUGUAUGUACCAUGAGAAUAAGGACCGGCUAAUUCCGUGCCAGCAGCGGC